UUGAAAAGUCACAGUAAGCAGAUUUUUUUCUAAAUUGUCGGACAUCGAACGGAGGACAUCGGUGUGAGAACCUAAAAAGAGAAGAUUUGAGGAAGAAUCUCGUUUCAAACGCCAUAUAUAGUACUGCUGACGACGAAAGGCAGGAUCGCCGCGAAAAUGUCGAUCUUAGGAUCCAGAUGUCGGCCGAGACUCUCGACUAUCAGCACGCUGAGGAUCGCGCUGCUGAAGGACGCGUCCUGCUUGACUCGAUGAUGGACCAUCGCGGAAAACAAUUCCGUCACAACGGUAUUCGCAUUCACCUGAUAUACUCGGCCGCCAUUUCACCCUAACGCAAUGUUUUACCUUCAGUAUCGAUUGCUUGAGCGGUGAGAAAUAACGAACGAGGUGAGCCAUUGGGUGCAUCAACGAUGUGCACAAACGAUCCUCGUAAGAAUCUACUUUGCAAAAAGAAAUGUCGUACACCCAGAACAAGCGGAAUUAGCUAAAUUUUAGAGGAUUUUAUUCUUAUA